UGACAGGCGAGGCGUGCACAAAGUUGACUGGACCGCCGGGCCUGGCCCCACCUUCGCCCCCUGCCCGUGGGCCGUUCCGCUUCUCGCCCGCCGCCCGCCGCAGCAGCCGCAGAAGGCAGGCUCACGGCGCGCAAGGCGAGAUCCCCGGAGAUGGGGCCGGAGGGCAACCGACCGCCCCCACCGGCGCGCUCGUCCUCCGCUCCGGGACGGGACCUACUGCCGCGGCCGGUGACUUCGCCCCGGCCGCCACGCUGCCGCCUCCUCGUUGCCGGCGGCCCGCGGGACCGGAGCCCCGACUCUCCCCCCAGCCCCUGCCUGGGGUUUCUGUUCGGAUUCUGCUCGUUCACGAGCUCUCUGGCACUGGAGACCUUCUCAUGCAUUGCAAAACCAUUAAUGCUGGCCAUGGAGAUCCUUGCCUCUUCAGGAUUCAGAACAGCUCGGUGCACAACAGUCUUGAUUUUGCCAUUGCUCAGGACUUCCAUGUGGUCUCCUACGUGGACAUGCAAUGCAUGUGGCAGUGGCUGGACCACUUUCCAGCUGUUGCUGUUGCGGUCGACGACCUCCAGGCCUCGACAACUUGUGAACAAGAUGAUUGGGGGGUUUUCCGGCCAAUAUUGCAUCCAUUCACUCAGGGGAUGGGCAUAAUGCUUUAGUUUGAAGAAAUCUGAAGCUGCUUCAACAGCUCCAUCCAUGACAGAUUGACUGAUCCCAUGGUUUAUAAUCUGCAAAAUGGAGAUAGGCAAGUAAGCUUUCUUUGUUCCCUUGCACCUGCUUGUUAGUAGAGACAGAGUGCCCAAGAAGAGUUCAUGAAAGGCCGUACCUUAACUCUAGUGUAGCUACACAGCCUUAAGUUCUCCUCUAAUGUUUUACAAUUUUAGUAGUGGUCCUUGAGAACCUUGACAUUGCUUAUAUUUGAGAGUUGAAGCUGGAAACAUUUUAUACGCACAGAAGGCACCUGCUGUAUAAAUGAUCUGUUAUUUCUCGUACUGAGAGGUCACCCUGUCAGAGAACACGCCUUAGUAAUAUUCUUUGCUGCCUUGCUAUGUCCACAUGUACCCAUAGGACAAUGAUGCAGUUGUUAAAACUAGCCAUUUAGGUCGACCCCGGCUCCCUGUUGCUCUAGAACCAGACAUCUAUAUCGAGUAGGCUUAGGCCCUGUUACAGAUUUACAACUAAAAAAAAUGAAGGAAACUGAGAUGCUUGAACAUGCACGUUGUGUACGUACUUCAGAAUAUCUUUUCUAAAUUUUAUGAAGACUAAAUUACAGAUCAAAACUUCACAAAUGCUCCCAAUACUGAAAUGUUACAUCCUAUGUUUUUAAGGCGGUAAGGCGAUCUAAGGCGCUGGGGGGGCGCCUUAUCGCCUAGUCGACGCCUAAGCGCCUAAGGCGGGCAUAUUUGUAAGGCGCUGGCGGGGCGCCUUAUCGCCUAAGCGUCGCCUAAGCGUCCAAGGCGGGACGCCUUAAAAACAGAGGUUACAUCAUAAAAAAAAGAUUAAGAAUGUAGCAGGAAAAGGGAAUUAUCUACAACCGACAAGUGCUCUAAAAUGACCUUCAAUGUAGUACUGAUGUCAUUGCGGUGAUAACUGAAGGACGAAAUGGGGACUCAGCUUCAUGUUAUUUAUCAGUUUCCAUCUAACCAAGCGACAAAAUGUAGCUGGUCCUCCACGUAUCGUACAGUUCUCGCCAAUCCCCGGUUCCUCAUACAGUCGUGUGAUGAGUUCUAGUAUACUUUAUAUACACUGUUUAGACAGCUCAUACUCUUCAUUUUGGGGGACAAAAGGAGGAUGGAGCUCAUCAAACUAUUUAGCUGAGUGCAGGCAGUUUGCUCCAAAGAUGGUGCGUGUACUACUACUAACAAUGCGGUGCUGUCACAGCUAGCCGCAGGAUUUCGAAGGUCAUCAUAGCUCCUAAUUUUCCUGUGGUCGCUCUUCUGCAGUGGUUUUUCAACCACAAAUCUAGUUUGGUUUCCUAGUUUAUUUGUCUGUACAGUCGUCUUCCUUGGUCAACAUUGUGGACACAAGUGGCAAUGUUAUCCAUUGCAGUCUGGAAAAGAUAAAUGCCAAGGCAAAGGCAGAAAAGAAAAAGACAGGAAGGUGUGGCAAUGUUCUCAAGGAGUAUACCUGGAAGUAUCCUAGAUCACGGCAUGCUUUGGUAAUAUCUUCAACCACACGAGCUCGUGUCGCUGGGUCAAGGUUGAGGUGACCCACGUUGAUCACCGGCAUUGGCGGCGGGUGGAGGUUGUCGGAGGGGAGCUGCUCCUGAGGGACAGUCCUUGAGUCAUCAGACAUGUUGACUUAGUACUGUACAAGGAGCAGAGUCCAAUCUCAGUAUCUUUCGCAGAAACGAAACGGGAUGAAGUGUUCCUCCAUGGUGCGGCAUCUACUUAUAGGCAGCUUCAUUCCAGUGUCUGCUCGUUCCAAAUAAGAGGUCAAGCCAUUCAUGUCCAUGCAUGCAUGCACUUGGCAAUAUAUAUAAUUAUCGGUCCAGGGGAAGCUCCUACGCGGGGCCUACGUCGGCAACAGGAAGAGCCCGACAAAAUGUGAAUAUUCAUUUAUGUCGCCUAUGUGCCGCCGCAUAGCAAAUUGGGAGUAUCUUAAUACCGCGCUCCGGGCCACUCAUUCACUCUUUCGUCACAUAUGCUCCAUUGUCCUGGUAUGCAACUGGUUGUUGUUAGGACACAAUUAUGAAGUUAUCUCUUGGCCUACAUAUACUUCUUCGUCCUGGUAUGCAACUGGUUUUUGUUUAGGACGCAAUUAUGAAGUUAUCUCUGGGACACAACUUGUUUCUGCCAAUGUUUCUGGUGCUGUCCAGGGUGUUGCUUCAUGGAGAAGGCUGGAUUCCCUCAUUGGAAACUUCGGCUACCCCCUGCAGUGUCAGCAAAUUGGGAGUAUCUUAAUCCUACGUUCCAUGCCCCCUACUUCUUUGUUCCUGUUAUGCAACUGGUGUUUGUUUAGGAGACACAGCAAUAAUAAAAAUAUCUUACUGAUGCAACUUGUUUCUGCCCAUUUUUUCGCUGCUGUCCUAUCCAGUGGGUGAUCAUGAAGGCUGGAAUCCCGGACGCAGCCUGGGGCUACUCGUUAAAACCCUUUGGAUGGUCCCCAAAAAAGUUCAAUCUUGUCGGUUCCCACAGGACGACGCCUCUCAUGUCCUUUCACCUGAUUUUCAUCCCGCUUACGCGUGCGGUGCAACUGGGAUUUUCUUAGGUGCAGCGGCGAUGAUGUUGUAUGGCCUGACCAGGAGGGGCUCAUGGAGACUGUGGAGUGCUGCUGGAAGCUGCUGCUGCUGAUCUGAAUGGAAGCUUGGCUUAGUUAAUUGGUGCAGUUGCAGUCGGCGAAAAGGGCUAUUUUUGGUGGUUCUCGUAGGCUGCCAUGUUAUAUACUUUUGUGGUAGCAGAUAGCUUGGCCAGAGAGGGUGGACGCGGAUGAGCCGCGUCGUUGCUUGGUUUUGGAUACGAGCCAUCAUCCCUACCACUACUCUCGGCGUGUAGCACGGAGGAACUUCCUGUCCUGCUUUUCUUUUUUACCUGGUGAAGAUGAGCUGCAACUGCAAGUGCUGUGUUUACUCUCGCUCCAUCCGCGUCCUCUGCGACGUAAGUGUUUCGUUGCCUCUCGCUCUAUCCACGUCCUCUGUGACGGUGCCAGGAAAGGCCGCCGCACUGGGGUUUGUCCACAUGUCUUGGCAUGAAAACUUUGGCCGUUCACGGAAGUUUGGGCGUGUGCAGUAGUUUGUAUCUGUUGGUGUUGGUGCUUAAUCUCGUCGCGAUCCUCUCUUGUAUCCUAACUUUGGUUUGCCUUGUAUUUCAAUUCGGUUGUUUUUAUCAAGAACAUAGUUCCAUCUUAAUUCUAGUUCCCCCAAUUGGUGCCCUCGAUGAUUUUUAUCUACAUGCAAUGCUAACAUGAAAGCUAUUUUUUGUUGCGUGGCUUCCAUACAAAUACAAGCGAGCGUGUAAGCAGUAGUGGAAGUGGCGGAGGCACGGGGGGGGGGCAGCAGGGGCCCCGGCCCUCCCCAACAUAAGUCACUUCUUUGCAUUUUGGGCAUGAACAGUAAUUUUUUUGAAAUGUUUUCUUAAUCGGGCCCCCUCUAAGAUCAUAAAUUUACGAUUCCUGCCUCCGCCACUGGUAGUGGUGUGUGUGUGUCUCCACGGCCCGCGCAAGGUUGAAUCAUUCUUUGCUUUCGUAGUGACAAUCGAAUAGGGGUUGGUGGCUUGCGAUAGGUUCCGGAGAGAUGGUUGUUGCCUUCUCGGGAAAGUUUUUCUUUUACGAGCGCUAGAGGGAUGAGCUAGAUACCUUUUCUAUAUGACAUGCGCUAGAGAAUAAAAAUAUCAUACCUUUUGCGUUGGAUCAUCCAAUGAAGUGGAUGCAUGCAUAUAUCUCAAGUGGUAUUUUUCUUGUAGAGUAAGUUGGAUACUGAUUUCUUCUUCAAUAGAACCAUCCGCUUUCUUUUGAAUCUAGUAUUAGCAAUUACAUCCCAUAAUGUUUUUGAAGUCGGGGGUUCUCAAUGCCACCGCCAUGGGUUCUAGAGCCCUCGGGCAAGUUCUCUAUCAAGUCAAUGUAUGCCAAACUAUCAACAGUUUUGGAAAGCGCCGAACCCUUUUAAAUUUAAGUUUUUCCAAUGGCAAGCUUGGAGAAAUUGAGAGUGAAUUGCAAGAAACCACCAAAUUUGGGGCUUCUCUUGCAGAAAACAACCUGAUCGCUAAUCUUUUGUAAAAGCCACCGCGCAUUCAGUAAAAGUUUUGCAGAUUGCACUGAACCUGUCAUUUGGCGCGGUUGAGGGUGUUCCCGACAGGUGGGCCCCAAUUUUGGUGACGUGUCCUAACGGACGCGCGGGCGGCGCCGUUACCUUAAGACCGACGCGGUCAGGUCGCGAGAGAUAGACCGCCCGCGCCCAACCACAUCUCGCUCGCUCUCUCUGCUCUCACGCUCGCUCGCUCCCCUCCCUCUUGCUCCUCUCCUCUCCGGCCGCCGGCCGCCAUAGUGUCCUGGAGCGACAGCGAGAGCACUGAGGGCUCCGCCGCGCAGUACAUCUCCUCCGAUGACUCCCCUGUCAAGAUCCCAGCUACAAUUGAUGAGCCGUCGUUAGGGUCUUGUUGACGACUUGAAUGUGAUUUGUGAGCAUGGGAAUCCAAGGAGGAAAUAUGUUGCAUUUGAGGGGAUAAGCAUUGGGAGGGGGUUCAUUGCCUGUGCCACUGAAGGUGUUGCAAAUUGUGGAUUAGUGCAGUGGGUAGAUGAGCAUUGGCUAGAGCAUCUGCAGAAUGCUAUUCAUAAGCUGUGGCUUAUGUAUGAGGAUAGCCAGCAUAAUAACAGGAUGGCAUGCCUGGAGCAUUCAUGCACUAUACACAAUCUGACACAGCAGAAAAAAGAGUUGCAGGAGACAUAUGAGAAGCUUGUUGAAGAUGUGAACAACCUCUUGGAUUAUAAGGAUAGCCAGCCUGAGGUAAACUAGAAGAACGAUGCUGAGAACAUUUCAGUGAGUGUGGAAAGCAGCAUGACAAAGGAUGCUGAGAUCAAAAAAUUGAAGGCUGUUGUUGACCAGUUAAAGCAAAUUCAUGUAGCUCAAGCCACUGUCAUUAGGAAUUUGAAGUUCAACCAUCUUAAAGAGAAGGAAAAGUUGAGCUCUGAUAAGAGGACUUUGGAGAUUUGCUAUGCUGGCCUAAAGAAAGAGAAGGAUGACCUGAAGAAAGAGAAGGAUAAGCUGGAUUGUUGCAUUGCUGAGCUGAUGAAACCGAAGGAGAAAUUGACCAUGGAGAAGAGUACUCUUCCUUCCUGCAUUGUUGAGCUCAAGACAGCAGAUGAUAGCAACAAGAGUAAGCUUAACCAGAUUAAGGCUAUUUGUGAUGAGGACUAAGUUGUGUUGUUGCCUGACCAUGUGUGUCAAUGAUGUCUUUUGUAGUAGCUAUGGAUGAAAGUUUGUAAUGUGUUAAGCUUUAUUGUGGUGAACUCUACUAUUUCUGUAGCAAUGAACCUUGGAUUGUAUGUUGUUUGUCAUGAAUUAUCAGUUUCAAUUAUCAAGUUUAAUUAAGUUUAGUUUGUGA